rnacentral:rRNA from 1 species
ACGGCCACACCUAGGCGAAAACACCAGUUCCCGUCCGAUCACUGCAGUUAAGAGUCUGAGGGUCUCGUUAGUACUAUGGUUGGAGACAACAUGGGAAUCCGGGAUGCUGUAGGCU